GCCUAAGGUUUCCUGAGGAAGGCUCGUCCUCUCAGGGUUAGUCGGGACCUAAGCCGAGGCCGAAAGGCGUAGGCGAUGGACAACAGGUAGAUAUUCCUGUACCACCUCAUGAACGUUUGAACGAUGGGGGGACGCAGUAGGAUAAGGAAUGCGCACGGAUGGAUGUGUGCGCCCAAGCAGUGAGAAAGUCGGAUAGGCAAAUCCGUCCGAUAAUUUCAAGCUGUGACGGGGAGGGAAAUAGAGUACCGAAGUUCCGGAUUUCACACUGCCAAGAAAAGCCUCUAGUAAGUUCAUAGGUGCCCGUACCGCAAACCGACACAGGUAGGCGAGGAGAGAAUCCUAAGGUGAGCGGGAGAACUCUCGUUAAGGAACUCGGCAAAAUGACCCCGUAACUUCGGGAGAAGGGGUGCUCCUUUAAGGAGGAGCCGCAGUGAAUAGGCCCAAGCGACUGUUUAGCAAAAACACAGGUCUCUGCGAAGCCGAAAGGCGAAGUAUAGGGGCUGACACCUGCCCGGUGCUGGAAGGUUAAGGGGAAACGUUAGUGCUUCGGCACGAAGCGUAGAACCGAAGCCCCAGUAAACGGCGGCCGUAACUAUAACGGUCCUAAGGUAGCGAAAUUCCUUGUCGGGUAAGUUCCGACCCGCACGAAAGGUGCAACGACUUGGGCACUGUCUCAACGAGAGACCCGGUGAAAUUAUACUAUGCGUGAAGAUGCGCAUUACCCGCGACAGGACGGAAAGACCCCGUGGAGCUUUACUGUAGCCUGAUAUUGAAUGUUGGUACAGCUUGUACAGGAUAGGUGGGAGCCAUCGAAGCGUGAGCGCUAGCUUACGUGGAGGCAACCGUGGGAUACCACCCUGGCUGUACGAACCUUCUAACCCAGGGCCGUGAUCCGGUCCGGAGACAGUGUCAGGCGGGCAGUUUGACUGGGGCGGUCGCCUCCCAAAAGGUAACGGAGGCGCCCAAAGGUUCCCUCAGAAUGGUUGGAAAUCAUUCGCAGAGUGUAAAGGCAGAAGGGAGCUUGACUGCGAGACCUACAAGUCGAGCAGGGACGAAAGUCGGGCUUAGUGAUCCGGUGGUUCCGCAUGGAAGGGCCAUCGCUCAACGGAUAAAAGCUACCCCGGGGAUAACAGGCUUAUCUCCCCCAAGAGUUCACAUCGACGGGGAGGUUUGGCACCUCGAUGUCGGCUCAUCGCAUCCUGGGGCUGUAGUCGGUCCCAAGGGUUGGGCUGUUCGCCCAUUAAAGCGGUACGCGAGCUGGGUUCAGAACGUCGUGAGACAGUUCGGUCCCUAUCCGUCGUGGGCGCAGGAGGUUUGAGAGGAGCUGUCCUUAGUACGAGAGGACCGGGAUGGACACACCGCUGGUGUACCAGUUGUUCCGCCAGGAGCAUAGCUGGGUAGCUACGUGUGGCAGGGAUAAGUGCUGAAAGCAUCUAAGCAUGAAGCCCCCCUCAAGAUGAGACUUCCCAUCACUAAAAGUGAGUAAGAUCCCUCAGAGAUGAUGAGGUUGAUAGGUCCGAGGUGGAAGCGUGGUGACACGUGUAGCUGACGGAUACUAAUCGAUCGAGGACUUAACUAA
rnacentral:rRNA from 1 species